rnacentral:rRNA from 1 species
UACGGAGGGUGCAAGCGUUAAUCGGAAUUACUGGGCGUAAAGGGUGCGUAGGCGGUUUGAUAAGCGGAGUGUGAAAUCCCCGGGCUUAACCUGGGAACUGCAUUCCGAACUGUCAAGCUAGAGUAUGAUAGAGGGUGGUGGAAUUCCGAGUGUAGCGGUGAAAUGCGUAGAUAUUCGGAGGAACACCAGUUGCGAAGGCGACCACCGGGAUCUAUACUGACGCUGAGGUACGAAAGCGUGGGGAGCAAACAGG